GGCCCAUUCUAAUGCCAAGCCGGACAGGUCUUGCAUUCGGAAGUACAGCGAGAUGAUGGACCUCACCAUGGCCAUAAGUUCUGCGGUUGAGUGCUCGGUCUGGUUUUGCUCUUGAGGAGUCUCCUCCCUUCCCGAUUCCUUCAGGCACGGUGCUCGAUCCCCAAUGGAAGGAAAUGGAGGCAGACCCAUCUUGCAGGUCAUCACCAGGAAGGAGAUGAGACUCAUGUCCUGGAGACGAAUACCCCACUGGAGGUGGCGUGAAGGGGAGAUGGCUGCUUUCUCCUGGGAAGGGAGCAGAUGCCUGGCCCAGGACCAAAUCAAAAGCUGAGGCUCACUGCCCCCAGUGGGCAGUGGGUCCAGGGGGUUUCUGAGGACAGGGCAUGACCCAGCCCUGCUGCCCCCAAGAUGGCACCUGGCUUGGAGGGGUGAGGGGCCCUGUUAGUCUGACUUUGAAGAAGACCAGCCUUCCAGACUCGCUUGGUGCCCUGACAGCUUGUGUUUCUUCCUUCAAGAGUCUGCUUAGAGAUAAUAAAGAUCAACACUAUUCCUUAUAACAACACCUCAGUAUCCUGCGAGCUGUACACACCAGAGUUUAUUUAACCACCUUGCUGCUGGCAUGAAAGCCUCAGGAGCCCUGGGCUCCCCCAGUGUUGCCUGGGUCUGACUUUGCCUCAGUGAAAACUGCCUCGAAUUCUUUCUUGCACCGAUGGGCAGAUGGGCAGUGUCGGAGGAUCGUGUCAUCUGUCCCGUGGCGCUGGUUGGCUUGGUCAAGUCAGUGUUCAAACUAUCUCCUGCUCUUUCAAGGGGAUCUGGGGCUCUAGAAGAUUAGAGGACUUGGAGAGGUUAGUGACUUGCUCGAGGUCGGCUAGGAAGCAAGACCCAGGAUUCCAACUCAGGUCUGUGUGAUUCCUCUGCAAAAUGGAGAGGUGGAAGGAUGGAUGUCAGGUCUGAUGGAUGGAUGGAUGCCUACAUCAAGAUACAUGCAUAGAUGGAGAGAUGGCUGGCUACCUCAUGAAUGCUGGACUGUUGUGAGAAUCAAACGAGAUAAUGUAUGCUGAGGCAUGCUGUGAACACUACGUGCUGGGUACAGGAGAAUGGAGGCUCCAGAGUGAAAUUAAUGACACUUUGUCGAUGAAGAUCUUGAUUGUGACCUCUGUGGAAAAUGAGCCAUGAACCAACCAAUAAUGAAAACCAUGUAGCUGGUCUUAUUAUUCUCUAAUCAUGAAGACCAUUAUUGUUAUUUGUGGACUAAGGAGCAGAAAGACUGAUAGUGGACAUAGGCCAGCUGAUUUAAUAAUUUAAGAAAGAACUGUUAUCCUGAGUAAGGAGCAUAGAGACAAAUAUAAAAUGAACGCACUCUACCUGAUUUAAUUAUAGUCUUCUGGUGAAGAUCUUGCUGUUAUCUCUGUGAAUCAGGAGAGAAGAGAUUGAUAAGGAAUAGACGAGAUUGGAUUUGGUCAUUUCCCCAAGGUGAAGAGCAUGGCGAUUUCUUCUGUGGUAAGGAGCAAUAAUGAAGACCAUGGUUGAUUUAAUCAGUCUCUGCUGAUGAAGAUCUUGGCUGUUACCUUUGUGUAAUGAAUGCGCAAUGAUUCAAUUAUUCUCCAGCGAGGAAGAUCAUGGUUGUUGUCUGUUUGAGUAAUGAGUGUAGAAACCUAUAAUGGAGGCGUGAUGGCUGAUGCAAUCAUUUUCCACUGAUGAAGGUUUUGAUGGCCACCUGUAAUGAACAGCCCCAUCUGAUUUAAUCACUGUGCAAUGACCGUGAACUGUACAGUUACCUCCGUGUGUCACAGGAAGACUCUUUUGACUUAAGCACCCUUCCAUGGUCAUGAGGUUUCUGGUUGCCUCUGUGUGUUAGAAGCUUGGAGACCAAUGCCUUCUGCUGUGAUCGCGUUCUCCACAGUUGCCUCUGGGUAGGAGCCUGGACACUAAUAGAAAAUGGAUGCACUUGAGCCGACCUAAGCAUUCAUGGUCAUGAGAUUUGUGGUUGCCACUGUUGGUUAGGAGCAUAGAGAUCAGUAAUGGACACACCUGGGCUGGCAGAACAUCUUGCCUUGAUCUGGAGCCCCAUGUCUGCCCCUCUGUAGAGGUGCACAUGGGCCAAU
rnacentral:lncRNA from 1 species